rnacentral:rRNA from 1 species
GAUGAACGCUGGCGGCGUGCCUAAUACAUGCAAGUCGAGCGAACGGACGAGAAGCUUGCUUUUCUGAUGUUAGCGGCGGACGGGUGAGUAACACGUGGAUAACCUACCUAUAAGACUGGGAUAACUUCGGGAAACCGGAGCUAAUACCGGAUAAUAUUUUGAACCGCACGGUUCAAAAGUGAAAGACGGUCUUGCUGUCACUUAUAGAUGGAUCCGCGCUACAUUAGCUAGUUGGUAAGGUAACGGCUUACCAAGGCAACGAUGCAUAGCCGACCUGAGAGGGUGAUCGGCCACACUGGAACUGAGACACGGUCCAGACUCCUACGGGAGGCAGCAGUAGGGAAUCUUCCACAAUGGGCGAAAGCCUGACGGAGCAACGCCGCGUGAGUGAUGAAGGUCUUCGGAUCGUAAAACUCUGUUAUUAGGGAAGAACAUAUGUGUAAGUAACUGUGCACAUCUUGACGGUACCUAAUCAGAAAGCCACGGCUAACUACGUG